AGCUCAGUGGUCGAGAGCUGGCUUUGGAAGCCACAGGUCGGUGGCUCAAAUCCACC
rnacentral:tRNA from 1 species